CGACGGCUGAAGUCAGACCUGUGGAAAUGUUUCUAUUUUACUUCUUUGUGCUUCAGUCUGCAGCAGUGGCUGCAUUUGUUCAGAGAGCAGGAGAGGACGUCACUCUGACUUGUGAACAUGAGCUAAAGGGUCAACGGGACUGUAAUGGGACAUCAUGGGCCUAUUUUCCUGGAAACAAUGAAAUCACGGAUCUGGUUGAACUUGGGAAGAUUAAAGACUACAGUGACGUAAAAUCAGACAGACUGAGAGUUGCAGCAGAUUGCUCUCUGAUUCUGAAGAAAGUUACAGUCAAGAAUGUUGGUCACUAUUAUUGUGAACAAUACAAAUCAGACAGUUCAAAGAAUCACAUUCUAGUUGACUGGUCUUUCGUGGAUCUGUCUGUCGUCAACAUCGUGACUGAACAUGAAUCCGAUGAUGAGGAGACACUGAAAUGCUUCGUGACGUCUUUACAGGAAAACUGUGAAAUGGAAGUGAAGUGGAAGAUCAAAGAUCAAGAUAUUGAUGAAGUCAACAGUCAGAUAAAGACAGAAAAUAAUGGAUGUUCUGCCACUGUGACUCUUAAAAAGUCACAUUAUCUUCACCCACAAACACACUUCCUGAGCUGUGAAGUGACUGACAGCAGAACAGGAGAAAAGCUUCGUUUCAGUCCUCGACCCUCAGGUGACACGAAAUCAACAGUAAAACCAGAAAGCUUCACAAAAUCAGCUGGAACUGAAACCAGAGGAGCUUCAGCAGAUCCACAAGGCUCGUGGUGGAUGCACUGGAUUGCCGCUGUGGGUCUGAUUGUACUCCUGAUCACAGCUGCAGUGAUCAUCAGAUGGAAAAGAACCAAAGGUUCCUGGUGGAGAUUAAGGAGAGACGGUGACCUAUGCUGAAGAAAAGAGUUCUUUGGGUCUAUGUUCCUUUCCCUUUCUCCUAACAGUUGCAUCUUGUCAAACCGUAUUUUUUUCAGUCACAUUAGACUGAUGAAAACUAAUCAUGUUGUUUCAACACAAUUUUUUGUGUAACACCAAUUUAUUGUGCAGUUAUAAGUUGACUUCAUCAUCUCCAGUGUGCCUGACUUUCAGCUGUAACUCCAAACUGUUUUGUUAAAGGUAAUAUUAUAAAAUUUUACUUUAAAGGUGCCUUAAGGAGUUUGCACGUUUCAUGCGAAACAGCGCCCCCUGCAGGCCUUGGGCGUAAUGCAGCUUAGUGAAAAACUCGUCCCUGUGGCUCGCGUGCACGGACGAGGGGAACUCCUCCCUCGCUCGUUGAGUAGCACUCAAGUAAAAUGUAAGUUUCUUCUCCCUGGUGGAGUCUGUGUGGAGCUGUGGCAGUGCUAGAAGCCAGUCUGUUCUUACUUUCUGGAAGA